GACGAACGCUGGCGGCGUGCUUAACACAUGCAAGUCGAACGGAAAGGCCCUGCUUUUGUGGGGUGCUCGAGUGGCGAAAGGGUGAGUAACACGUGAGUAUCCCGCCCUUGACUUUGGGAUAUCUUCAGGAAACUGGGGCUAAUACCGGAUAGGAGCUCCUGCUGCAUGGUGGGGGUUGGAAAGUUUCGGCGGUUGGGGAUGGACUCGCGGCUUAUCAGCUUGUUGGUGGGGUAGUGGCUUACCAAGGCUUUGACGGGUAGCCGGCCUGUGAGGGUAACCGGCCACAAUGGGCCUGAGAUACGGCACAGACUGCAAAGUGAGGCAACAGGAGAGAAUAUUGCACAAUGGGCGGAAGCCUGAUGCGGCAACGCCGCGUGCGUGAUGACGGCCCUCGGGUUGUAAACCGCUUUCGCCUGUGACGAAGCGUGAGUGACGGUAAUGGGUAAAGAAGCACCGGCUAACUACGUG
rnacentral:rRNA from 1 species